rnacentral:rRNA from 1 species
AAACCAACAGGGAUUGCCUCAGUAACGGCGAGUGAAGCGGCAACAGCUCAAAUUUGAAAUCUGGCUCUUUUAGAGUCCGAGUUGUAAUUUGCAGAGGGCGCUUCGGCGUUGGCAGCGGUCCAAGUUCCUUGGAACAGGACGUCACAGAGGGUGAGAAUCCCGUACGUGGUCGCUAGCCAUCGCCGUGUAAAGCCCCUUCGACGAGUCGAGUUGUUUGGGAAUGCAGCUCUAAAUGGGAGGUAAAUUUCUUCUAAAGCUAAAUACUGGCCAGAGACCGAUAGCGCACAAGUAGAGUGAUCGAAAGAUGAAAAGCACUUUGGAAAGAGAGUCAAAUAGCACGUGAAAUUGUUGAAAGGGAAGCGCUUGCCGCCAGACUUGCCUGUAGUUGCUCAUCCGGGCUUUUGCCCGGUGCACUCUUCUGCGGGCAGGCCAGCAUCAGUUUGGGCGGUUGGAUAAAGGUCUUUGUCAUGUACCUCUCUUCGGGGAGAACUUAUAGGGGAGACGACAUACAACCAGCCUGGACUGAGGUCCGCGCAUUUGCUAGGAUGCUGGCGUAAUGGCUGUAAGCGGCCCGUCUCGAAACACGGACCAAGGAGUCUAACAUCUAUGCGAGUGUUUGGGGGUCAAGCCCGAGCGCGUAAUGAAAGUGAAAGGAGGUGGGACCCCUUUUAGGGUGCACCAUCGACCGAUCCUGAUGUCUUCGGAUGGAUUUGAGUAAGAGCAUGGCUGUUGGUACCCGAAAGAUGGUUAACUAUGCCUGAAUAGGGUGAAGCCAGAGGAAACUCUGGUGGAGGCUCCGCAGCGGUUCUGACGUGCAAAU